rnacentral:lncRNA from 1 species
AUCAACCAUUUUUUUGUGCAGACACAGCCCUGCAUCUCCAGGAGUGAAUUGGAUCACUCCGGGAAGUGUUCCAAGUGCACAGAGGGGGCCAGGCCGUAAGGAGGCAGGAAGUUACUCUCUGCCUGUCUACAAGCAAGAGAGGAGGGGACUCCUGAGAAAGAAGACAGAAGAUAGUCACCAUCAAAGAAAAGAAAUGAGGCCUCCAACUUUACAGUUCCCUGCUCUUCUUAGCAGCCAGAUGGCGAAGCUGAGUGAACAGUAUAUCCUGGCUGCACACAAUGAAAACAUCCCUGGCAG